GACACAACAAUGGCUGGCCGUCCUCCAAAGUUCUUCACAUGCAUUUCCAAUGAAACAAACAAACAACCCCACCCACCUGCUGCAUUUCUCUCUUUCUUUCUCUAAACAAGCAACAACUCCUGCUUUUCUUUUGCUGAAGUUGAAGGAAACCAUUUUGCAAUCCCUCACGAUGUCGAUGUCGAUGUCGAUCUGGCAGUGGCUCCCAAAAGAGAUUAUCACCGAAAUCCUCUCAUGGCUGCCGGUGAAGUCGCUCAUCAGAUUCAGGUGUGUUUCAAAGGCAUGGUGCUCUCUAAUCUCCACCUCCCGCUUCAUCGCGACCCACCUUAAUCACUCUCUUUCCAACUCCCAAUACCAGACCUCCAUUUUCGCCUGCCAUAACUACACCUUUCAUACCCUCCUGCUGUAUCCAUCAUAUCAAGAAAUAGAACAGAAGGGUGAUUUCUUUGCAAACCCAUCAGAUCUUAUAGAAUUGCAUGACCCAUUUAACCAUAAAUAUUCCUUACACUUGGUUGGUUCAUCUAACGGCCUGCUAUGUCUUGCCAAUAUGACUUUCAAUAACGAAAGUGGGUUAUGUGUUCUCUGGAACCCUUCUAUUCAAAAAGCCAUCUCCCUUCCCAAGCCUAAUCUUGGAUCGUUACAACAAACUUUUGGCUUUGGGUAUGAGCCCUUGACCGAUGAUUACAAAUUGGUGAGACUCAUGAAUCCCCAUGAUUGCAAAACUGUUCCACCUCUGUUUGAGAUUUAUACGCUUCGAACUGGCAUAUGGCGCUUUAUUACGGCCCCCGAUUCUCGCUACACGAUGAAGUAUUGGUCCUCAUCGGUUUUAGUGUGUGGGGCACUCCACUGGUCCACACACACUCCACGGCAUCAAGGUGCCUUUUGCAAUGUGAUCAUGUCGUUUAAUAUGAAGGAUGAGGCCUUUGGUGAAGUGGGUAUGCCUAAGAGCUUACAAGGGUUAGAAGGCUUGGACGUUACUGUGGCGCUAAUUGAUGGGUUGCUUGCACUUGUCCCUUGUACCGGAUUUGGCAUCGAGGCGUCUCAUGCCGUGUGGGUGAUGAAAGAGUAUGGAGUAGUGGAAUCUUGGACAAAGCUGUAUGAUGUUCGCAUUGAGGGAUUUCAGAGGGUGAUAGGCUUUCCAAAGAGUGAUGAAGUUCUGGUGCACGAUGCUGACAGGUUCUUUUCUUGCGGACCUAGUAGCCGAGGAUAUUUGGAAGAUCUUCCCCUUUGUGGCCUAGAGCAUAUUUAUUUGGAUGCUUAUGUGGAGAGCCUUAUUCUACUGAAUGUAGCGGACCUAGUUCCGGGGAGACAGGGGAAUUCGUCUGGUGGUAGUUAGGGAAUUGGUCUGGAGGCAGUUAGCUCGCAAAGAAAUGCAGGUAAAGGUAAGAAAUGAAUUGAGGGAAAAGAAGAUUUGGUGAAAUUGUUUUACACCACCUUGGAUGGAGUCGGUCGAUGAAGUACAAAGAAGAAAUCUCUGUUUUGUUUUCUUGGAUUGCUUUGUUGUUUUUGUUGCUUUACUUUCUUGCAAGAUUUGAAAGAGUAAAAAGGGUACUACAAGGAAGAAUUCUAAAAGGUUUUCAGUGUUGGCUUUCUUUGCACUUUCAAAAUAGAAGGUAUCUAAUGCUCUAAGUUGUU